rnacentral:ncRNA from 1 species
GUUCCCCGGCCGUCCUGGAACCAGCUGACACCGGUACCUGAUACGGCCGGUGCAG